GACGAACCGUGCGAACGUUGUUCGGAAUCACUGGGCUUAAAGGGCGCGUAGGCGGGCUGCCAAGUCUGGGGUGAAAUCCCACGGCUCAACCGUGGAACUGCCUCGGAUACUGGCGGUCUCGAGGGAGGUAGGGGCAUGCGGAACUGUGGGUGGAGCGGUGAAAUGCGUUGAUAUCCACAGGAACUCCGGUGGCGAAAGCGGCGUGCUGGACCUCUUCUGACGCUGAGGCGCGAAAGCUAGGGGAGCGAACGGG
rnacentral:rRNA from 1 species